AUUUUGAAGAAGGCGAGUUUCAUGAAGUAGAAGAAUUCAUCAAAUUAGAACAACAUAGAGUUGAAGAAGAACACAGAGUUGAAAAAGUUCAUAGGGUAAUAGAAGUUUUUGAGGCUGAAGAAGUGGAAGUAUUUGAAAAACCAAAAGCUCCACCUAAAGGGCCUGAGAUAUCUGAGAAAAUCAUCCCUCCAAAAAAACCGCCCACUAAAGUUGUUCCUCGAAAAGAGCCACCAGCUAAAGUACCGGAGGUGCCUAAGAAAAUUGUGGUAGAAGAAAAAGUACGUGUUCCUGAAGAGCCCAGAGUUCCACCAACUAAAGCACCCGAAGUACCCAAGAAAAUUGUCCCAGAAGAAAAAGUUCGUGAAGCUGUUCUGAAAAAGCCUGAAGUUCCACCAGCUAAAGCGCCCGAAGCUCCUCAAGAAAUUAUUCCUGCCAAGACAGUUCCUUCCAAAAAAAGAGAACCCCCAUCAGUUAAAGUGCCUGAAGCUCUCCAAGAAAUUGUCCCUGAAAAGAAAACGCUUGUGGUUCCUCUCAGAAAGCCUGAAGUCCUUCCUGAUGAAGUGCCGGAGGCUCUCAGAGAAGUUGUCCCGGAAAAGAAAGUGCAUCCUCCCCAAAGGGCUGAAGUUGUACCUGUCAAAGUGCACGAAGCUCCCAAAGAGAUUAUCCCUGAAAAGAAAGUGUCGGUGGUGCCUCCUAAAAAGCCUGAAGUCCCACCUGUUAAAGUGCCAGAAGCUUCCAAAGAGGUUAUCCGCGAAGAGAAAGUGCCCUUGGCUCCUCCUAAAGAGCCUGAAGUCCCACCUGUUAAAGUACCAGAGCCUCCCAAAGAAGUAGUUCCUGAAAAGAAAG
rnacentral:lncRNA from 1 species